GACGAACGCUGGCGGCGUGCUUAACACAUGCAAGUCGUACGGUAAGGCCCUUUCGGGGGUACACGAGUGGCGAACGGGUGAGUAACACGUGAGUAACCUGCCCACAACUUUGGGAUAACGCUAGGAAACUGGUGCUAAUACUGGAUAUGUGCUCCUGCUGCAUGGUGGGGGUUGGAAAGCUCCGGCGGUUGUGGAUGGACUCGCGGCCUAUCAGCUUGUUGGUGGGGUAGUGGCCUACCAAGGCGGCGACGGGUAGCCGGCCUGAGAGGGUGACCGGCCACAUUGGGACUGAGAUACGGCCCAGACUCCGACGGGAGGCAGCAGUGGGGAAUAUUGCACAAUGGGCGCAAGCCUGAUGCAGCAACGCCGCGGGCGGGAUGACGGCCUUCGGGUUGUAAGCCGCUUUCAGCAGGGACGAAGCUUUUUGUGACGGUACCUGCAGAAGAAGCACCGGCUAACUACGUG
rnacentral:rRNA from 1 species